rnacentral:rRNA from 1 species
UACGAAGGGGGCUAGCGUUGUUCGGAAUUACUGGGCGUAAAGCGCGCGUAGGCGGAUCGCUAAGUCAGGGGUGAAAUCCCAGGGCUCAACCCUGGAACUGCCUUUGAUACUGACGAUCUGGAGAUCGGGAGAGGUUGGUGGAAUUCCGAGUGUAGAGGUGAAAUUCGUAGAUAUUCGGAGGAACACCAGAAGCGAAGGCGGCCAACUGGCCCGAUACUGACGCUGAGGCGCGAAAGCGUGGGGAGCAAACAGG